UACGGAGGGGGCAAGCGUUGUUCGGAAUUAUUGGGCGUAAAGCGUGUGUAGGCGGCUAAGCAAGUCAGGCGUGCAAGCCCGUGGCUCAACCACGGAAUUGCGUUUGAAACUGCUUAGCUUGAGUACAGGAGAGGAAAGCGGAAUUCCCAGUGUAGCGGUGAAAUGCAUUGAUAUUGGGAAGAACAUCUGUGGCGAAGGCGGCUUUCUGGUCUGUUACUGACGCUGAGAUACGAAAGCCAGGGGAGCGAACGGGAUUAGAUACCCCGGUAGUCCUGGCUGUAAACGAUGGGCACUAGGUGCAGGAGGUAUCGAUCCCCUCUGUGCCGUAGCUAACGCGUUAAGUGCCCCGCCUGG
rnacentral:rRNA from 1 species